rnacentral:rRNA from 1 species
UGGGGAAUUUUGGACAAUGGGGGAAACCCUGAUCCAGCCAUCCCGCGUGUGCGAUGAAGGCCUUCGGGUUGUAAAGCACUUUUGGCAGGAAAGAAACGUCGCGGGUUAAUACCCCGCGAAACUGACGGUACCUGCAGAAUAAGCACCGGCUAACUACGUGCCAGCAGCCGCGGUAAUACGUAGGGUGCAAGCGUUAAUCGGAAUUACUGGGCGUAAAGCGUGCGCAGGCGGUUCGGAAAGAAAGAUGUGAAAUCCCAGAGCUUAACUUUGGAACUGCAUUUUUAACUACCGGGCUAGAGUGUGUCAGAGGGAGGUGGAAUUCCGCGUGUAGCAGUGAAAUGCGUAGAUAUGCGGAGGAACACCGAUGGCGAAGGCAGCCUCCUGGGAUAACACUGACGCUCAUGCACGAAAGCGUGGGGAGCAAAACAGGAUUAGAUACCCUGGUAGUCCACGCCCUAAACGAUGUCAACUAGCUGUUGGGGCCUUCGGGCCUUGGUAGCGCAGCUAACGCGUGAAGUUGACCGCCUGGGGAGUACGGUCGCAAGAUUAAAACUUAAAGGAAUU